UACGAGGGGGGCAAGCGUUGUUCGGAAUUAUUGGGCGUAAAGGGUGCGUAGGCGGCGGAGUAAGUUGGGUGUGAAAUCCCGAGGCUCAACCUCGGAAUUGCAUUCAAUACUGCUUCGCUCGAGUACUGGAGAGGAGGCUGGAAUUUACGGUGUAGCAGUGAAAUGCGUAGAUAUCGUAAGGAAGGCCGGUGGCGAAAGCGAGCCUCUGGACAGUUACUGACGCUGAUGCACGAAGGCCAGGGGAGCAAACGGG
rnacentral:rRNA from 1 species